UAUUCUCUGCAAGCCUCUUGUUAUAGAC
rnacentral:piRNA from 1 species